rnacentral:rRNA from 1 species
GUGGGGAAUAUUCCGCAAUGGACGAAAGUCUGACGGAGCAACGCCGCGUGAGUGAUGAAGGUUUUCGGACUGUAAAGCUCUGUUGUUUAGGACGAAAGUGCCUGUUGCGAAUAGUUACAGGUAUUGACGGUACUAAACGAGGAAGCCACGGCUAACUACGUGCCAGCAGUCGCGGUAAUACGUAGGUGGCAAGCGUUGUCCGGAAUUAUUGGGCGUAAAGAGCAUGUAGGCGGGAAUCUAAGUCUGUUGUUAAAAUGCGGGGCUCAACCCCGUAUUGCGAUGGAAACUGGGUUUCUUGAGUGCAGGAGAGGAAAGGGGAAUUCCCAGUGUAGCGGUGAAAUGCGUAGAUAUUGGGAGGAACACCAGUGGCGAAGGCGCCUUUCUGGACUGUGUCUGACGCUGAGAUGCGAAAGCCAGGGUAGCGAACGGGAUUAGAUACCCGUGUAGUCC